GUCUGCAUGGAGCCGGCCUUGAAAUACCACCCUUUAAUGUUUGAUGUUCUAACGUGGACCCGUAAUCCGGGUUGCGGACAGUGUCUGGUGGGUAGUUUGACUGGGGCGGUCUCCUCCUAAAGAGUAACGGAGGAGCACGAAGGUUGGCUAAUCCUGGUCGGACAUCAGGAGGUUAGUGCAAUGGCAUAAGCCAGCUUGACUGCGAGCGUGACGGCGCGAGCAGGUGCGAAAGCAGGUCAUAGUGAUCCGGUGGUUCUGAAUGGAAGGGCCAUCGCUCAACGGAUAAAAGGUACUCCGGGGAUAACAGGCUGAUACCGCCCAAGAGUUCAUAUCGACGGCGGUGUUUGGCACCUCGAUGUCGGCUCAUCACAUCCUGGGGCUGAAGUAGGUCCCAAGGGUAUGGCUGUUCGCCAUUUAAAGUGGUACGCGAGCUGGGUUUAGAACGUCGUGAGACAGUUCGGUCCCUAUCUGCCGUGGGCGCUGGAGAACUGAGGGGGGCUGCUCCUAGUACGAGAGGACCGGAGUGGACGCAUCACUGGUGUUCGGGUUGUCAUGCC
rnacentral:rRNA from 2 species